CAAGUAGUUCGGGAUUUGUGUGGUGCUGCGUAGUGGUGGUGCGUAUUGUUUGGUUGGUGGCUGGCUCUUCCUGCAUGUUUAGCGGUGGUAGGGCGGGCAGUGUAUAUCGCAAGCUACAUGUUGCACCAUAUAGAUUUGUCUGGUUUUGCGGAUUAUAGCAGAUUAAGCUUUUAGUUCCUUGAAUUCACUAAUCUAUUUGCACACCAAAACCUGGUAGAAUGUGUAAGG